rnacentral:tRNA from 1 species
CGGGCGGGUGCGCGAGGAGGCGAAGCGGGAGCGGCUGUCCCUGCUGGCCGCCGGCAUCGCCUUCUGGGGGACGCUGUCGAUCUUCCCGAUGCUGCUGGUC